GACGAACGCUGGCGGCGUGCUUAACACAUGCAAGUCGAACGGAAAGGCCCUGCUUUUGUGGGGUGCUCGAGUGGCGAACGGGUGAGUAACACGUGAGUAACCUGCCCUUGACUUUGGGAUAACUUCAGGAAACUGGGGCUAAUACCGGAUAGGAGCUCCUGCUGCAUGGUGGGGGUUGGAAUGUUUCGGCGGUUGGGGAUGGACUCGCGGCUUAUCAUCUUGUUGGUGGGGUAGUGGCUUACCUAGGCUUUGACGGGUAGCCGGCCUGAGUGGGUGACCGGACACAUUGGGACUGGGAUACGGCCCAGACUCCUACGGGAGGCAGCAGUGGGGAAUAGUGCGCAAUGGGCGGAAGCCUGAUGCAGCAACGCCGCGUGCGGGAUGACGGCCUUCGGGUUGUAAACCGCUUUCGCCUGUAACGAAGCGUGAGUGACGGUAAUGUGUAAAGAAGCACCGGCUAAAUACGUG
rnacentral:rRNA from 1 species